rnacentral:tmRNA from 1 species
GGGGGUGUUCCGGUUUCGACGGGGAGAUGUUCUACCAUUAGUUGCGAGUCGAGUUCUUCGAAAGCUCGUAAAAAAGUCGAAAUUUUCAAACAUUAACUGCCGAAGAUAAUUUGGCUCUCGCCGCCUAGUGCGGCGCGUCUGCUCACCUUCGUCGGCGGAGGUGUACCAGGCGUUAACCACGCCGUCUACCCAUUGGCCGCUCGUCUCUCGGCUGCCUAGGGAAAACACCAGAGGGUGUGGUUUGCGGGAAUCCUGCUAAAGGGAGUCCCGGUAAACCGAGAUAAAAUCUUUAGCUACACUCGUAGAGGCUAUUUGGGGGGCCUUUUCGGACGCGGGUUCGACUCCCGCCACCUCCACCA